AUUGAACGCUGGCGGCAGGCCUAACACAUGCAAGUCGAACGGUAACAGGAAACAGCUUGCUGUUUCGCUGACGAGUGGCGAACGGGUGAGUAACGCGUGAGGAACCUGCCUCAAAGAGGGGGACAACAGUUGGAAACGACUGCUAAUACCGCAUAAGCCCACGGCUCGGCAUCGAGCAGAGGGAAAAGGAGUGAUCCGCUUUGAGAUGGCCUCGCGUCCGAUUAGCUAGUUGGUGAGGUAACGGCCCACCAAGGCGACGAUCGGUAGCCGGACUGAGAGGUUGAACGGCCACAUUGGGACUGAGACACGGCCCAGACUCCUACGGGAGGCAGCAGUGGGGAAUAUUGCACAAUGGGGGAAACCCUGAUGCAGCGACGCCGCGUGGAGGAAGAAGGUCUUCGGAUUGUAAACUCCUGUUGUUGAGGAAGAUAAUGACGGUACCUAACAAGAAAGCACCGGCUAACUACGUG
rnacentral:rRNA from 1 species